UUGAUGCCGCAGUGUUACAGCGCAACAGGCGAGUUCCGGAAGUAAAAACUCCAUUCAUUUUCUGCACAGGGAAAUAGAUUUUUUAACAAGAACUUAUAAACCAUUGAAGACAGCCCAACUUGCUGUUGACGGAAGUUGCGUAGGUUCUGCGUCCUCCCAGAUCAGAUGGAGUCUUCCGGAGAGGAGUCGCGUGUGAGAGAGAGCCGAGUUCCCGCCAAAGAUGCACGUGAACGGCUCGCGGCGAGGAAUCGAGUCUUUUGGAGUCACAGAUAAAAGUACUGAUUCGUUGUCAAUAAAGCUACUGAUAUGGUGUAAAGAUUCGUGUGUAGGACUUCCUCUUUUAAUUCUCGUCUUUCCUUGCAUUUGCUUUUUCCACCAAUUUUAUUUUGUUUGUUUUAUAUGUGCACGUUUCUAUAUUUGUCUGUGUAAAAUGCUAUUUUACUUGUGUUGUAUAAAUAUGUCUUACAUCCCAUUGUUAUUUUGAUGUAUUAAAUUAUGGCACAGAAUCCUCCAUCAUGCUGUGUUUAUCUGAGGAAUAUGAGAUCAUGGUGAUUUUGUUAAUAAAAUAUUUACCUGAUUGAAUCUACA